UACGUAGGGUGCGAGCGUUGUCCGGAAUUAUUGGGCGUAAAGAGCUCGUAGGCGGUCUGUCGCGUCGAUCGUGAAAACUUGGGGCUUAACCCUGAGCUUGCGGUCGAUACGGGCAUGACUGGAGUUCGGCAGGGGAGACUGGAAUUCCUGGUGUAGCGGUGAAAUGCGCAGAUAUCAGGAGGAACACCAAUUGCGAAGGCAGCUCGCUGGAACGUAACUGACGCUGAGACGCGAAAGCGUGGGGAGCAAACAGG
rnacentral:rRNA from 1 species